rnacentral:rRNA from 1 species
CAGCAGCCGCCGCGGGAAUACGGAGGGUGCAAGCGUUAUCCGGAUUCACUGGGUUUAAAGGGUGCGUAGGCGGAUCUGUAAGUCAGUGGUGAAAUCUCCAGGCUUAACCUGGAAACUGCCGUUGAUACUAUAGGUCUUGAAUUUUGUGGAGGUUAGCGGAAUAUGUCAUGUAGCGGUGAAAUGCAUAGAUAUGACAUAGAACACCAAUUGCGAAGGCAGCUGGCUACACAACUAUUGACGCUGAGGCACGAAAGCGUGGGGAUCAAACAGGAUUAGAUACCCCCGUAGUCCCUGUCUCUUAUAC